rnacentral:rRNA from 1 species
UGCCAGCCGCCGCGGUAAUACGGAGGGUGCAAGCGUUAUUCGGAAUUACUGGGCGUAAAGCGCGCGUAGGCGGUUUAGUAAGUCUGAUGUGAAAGCCCGGGACUCAAUCCCGGAAGUGCAUUGGAUACUGCUAGACUAGAGUAUCGGAGAGGAAGACGGAAUUCCUGGUGUAGAGGUGAAAUUCGUAGAUAUCAGGAGGAACAACGGUGGCGAAGGCGGUCUUCUGGACGAUAACUGACGCUGAGGUGCGAAAGCGUGGGGAGCAAACAGGAUUAGAUA